rnacentral:rRNA from 1 species
UACGUAGGGUGCGAGCGUUGUCCGGAAUUAUUGGGCGUAAAGAGCUCGUAGGCGGUUUGUCGCGUCGACUGUGAAAACCCGAGGCUUAACCUCGGGCCUGCAGUCGAUACGGGCAGACUAGAGUUCGGUAGGGGAGACUGGAAUUCCUGGUGUAGCGGUGAAAUGCGCAGAUAUCAGGAGGAACACCGAUGGCGAAGGCAGGUCUCUGGGCCACUACUGACGCUGAGAAGCGAAAGCGUGGGGAGCAAACAGG